rnacentral:rRNA from 1 species
CACGUAAGGGGCGAGCGUUGUUCGGAAUUAUUGGGCGUAAAGGGCGCGUAGGCGGCCGCGCAAGUCUGAUGUGAAAACCCCGGGCUCAACCCGGGAACUGCAUUGGAAACUGCGCGGCUUGAGUUGCGGAGGGGAAGCCGGAAUUCCUGGUGUAGGGGUGAAAUCUGUAGAUAUCAGGAAGAACACCGAUGGCGAAGGCAGGCUUCCAGCCGAUGACUGACGCUGAGGCGCGAAAGUGCGGGGAG